UACGUAGGGUGCAAGCGUUAAUCGGAAUUACUGGGCGUAAAGCGUGCGCAGGCGGUUUGUAAGUUUGUCGUGAAAGCCCCGGGCUCAACCUGGGAAUUCGCGAUGAAGACUGCAAGGCUUGAAUCUGGCAGAGGGGGGUAGAAUUCCGCGUGUAGCAGUGAAAUGGCGUAGAGAUGCGGAGGAACACCGAUGGCGAAGGCAGCCCCCUGGGCUAACACUGACGCUCAAGCACGAAAGCGUGGGGAGCAAACAGG
rnacentral:rRNA from 1 species